rnacentral:rRNA from 1 species
UACGUAGGGAGCAAGCGUUGUCCGGAUUUACUGGGUGUAAAGGGUGCGUAGGCGGCUUUGCAAGUCAGAAGUGAAAUCUAUGGGCUUAACCCAGAAACUGCUUCUGAAACUGCAGGGCUUGAGUGAAGUAGAGGUAGGCGGAAUUCCCGGUGUAGCGGUGAAAUGCGUAGAGAUCGGGAGGAACACCAGUGGCGAAGGCGGCCUACUGGGCUUUAACUGACGCUGAGGCACGAAAGCGUGGGUAGCAAACAGG